rnacentral:lncRNA from 1 species
CACUGAGAUAAAUCCCCAGCCCACAUAUGCAUUUUUGAAUAAAUCAUGGUACCAUUUAUUUGACUCUCUUUAGAAUGAUAAAUCUUGGCCUUGGAGGUAAGGUCAUUUCUUCAAACUGAUAUUUGUUAAUUGCUGGGUAGCAUAAUGGCCCGGGCCACGCCCAUGGCACGGUGAGGUCUCAGAGGUGUCUUGCAGCCCCACCCCCACCUGACGCUCUCAAAGCUGCAGCGACCGGCUCCGUUGAGACAAGACAAGCAGCUUGGGGUUCCUGCGGCCGUCCCGGGCCAUGCCCACGGCACGGUUGUGUACUGAGUGUGAGUUGGGGGCAAUCAGCAGCCCAGGGGCUAUUUUACGUCCAGUGUGAGGAAAAGUUCAGUUGAAGAGAUCCUAGUAGAUGACCUCACUUCUUUAUGAUGACACUUUGCUCAGAACCCUGUUGCCAAGCAACACAUAGCACCACUGACUGAUGCCUGCUCACUUGUCUGGAGACACAGGACAUGUCCCACUCCAGGAUGAAAAGGAGUCAAGCCUGACUCUGGAUACUCAAGCUUGCUUAGAGCUUUUGAAGAUGGAUGUAAGGGAGUCCAUGGUCAACCAUCUUGUGCGAUCCUUGCUUCAAGGGAACUGUUUGUUCCUGCACAAGUUUUUGCAAAACUACCAAGAUUUGGGACCAUGCAGCAGGAGCUGGAUCUGCUGUUGA